rfam:Asian citrus Psyllid, Diaphorina citri - Florida Strain, whole genome shotgun sequence.
GCCUAGUUAGCUUUAGAGGCAGGGCGUCUGCCUUGAAAGCACUAGGCCGCGGGUUCGAUUCCCGCCCGGGGCA